rnacentral:lncRNA from 1 species
UUUCAUCUUUGCAAGUAGGCUCAGCAACACCUGCAAAACAUCUGGAGGAAAGGUACCGCUUGUUUACCCAUACAUAGCGUGUCAAGACUCAAGAUGUCUUCUUUAACCAUCCUUUUGUCAUUUUAUACAAUUUCUUCAUACUGUAAGUUACAGAUUUCUUUGCCCCAGCUGUUAGUAUGGUUUUAGCACUCUGCACUAUACUGGAAGAUCUCAC